rnacentral:rRNA from 1 species
GAUCAUGGCUCAGAACGAACGCUGGCGGCGCGUUUAAGCAUGCAAGCGAGCGGCAGGCUCGGGCCCCUAGAGCGGCGGACGGGUGAGUAACACGUGGACAAUCUGCCCCCCGGCCCGGGAUAGCCCAGGGAAACCUGGAUUAAUACCGGAUGAGACGGGACCCGCGAUGGCGGGACCCGGGAAAGGCGCUGCGGCGCCGCCGGGGGAUGAGUCUGCGUCCCAUUAGCUAGACGGCGGGGUAACGGCCCACCGUGGCGACGAUGGGUAGCCGGCCUGAGAGGGUGGACGGCCACAUUGGAACUGAGACACGGUCCAGACUCCUACGGGAGGCAGCAGCUAAGAAUCUUCCGCAAUGGGCGAAAGCCUGACGGAGCGACGCCCGCGUGAACGAAGAAGGCCGUGAGGUUGUAAAGUUCUUUUCGGGAGGGGGAACAACCGUGGCAGGGAAUGGCCGCGGGAUGACGUGAAUCCCGGAAUAAGCCCCGGCUAACUACGUGCCAGCAGCGGC